rnacentral:rRNA from 1 species
GAUGAACGCUGGCGGCGUGCUUAACACAUGCAAGUCGAACGAAGACAUCUGAGUGCUUGCACUUGGAUGGACUGAGUGGCGGACGGGUGAGUAACGCGUGGGUAACCUGCCUUAUACAGGGGGAUAACAGUUGGAAACGACUGCUAAUACCGCAUAAGCGCACGGUAUCGCAUGAUACAGUGUGAAAAACUCCGGUGGUAUAAGAUGGACCCGCGUCUGAUUAGCUUGUUGGUGAGGUAACGGCCCACCAAGGCGACGAUCAGUAGCCGGCCUGAGAGGGUGAACGGCCACAUUGGGACUGAGACACGGCCCAAAACUCCUACGGGAGGCAGCAGUGGGGAAUAUUGCACAAUGGGGGAAACCCUGAUGCAGCGACGCCGCGUGAGUGAUGAAGUAUUUCGGUAUGUAAAACUCUAUCAGCAGGGAAGAUAAUGACGGUACCUGACUAAGAAGCAACCGGCUAAAAUACGUG